GUCAGCUUGUCACUCUUUGAGAUGUUUGAAUUGGGCUGAGGCAGUGGAGAGCUAUUCAGAAUUAUGGGCAAGUCUUGUUGGUUAUUAUGUUAUUGUUGUACAAGCAUAUUUUGUAUGUAAUGAAAUGUUGUCGAUGAAUCGAAAUGGAUAUACUGUGUAAAAGUGUUAGAAGAUCUCUCUUAUUUGGAAUUUCAGAAUGUUAAGUCUAGUUUAUGAUGAUAUGAACUUGUGGUGAAUAAUUGGAGUUCUGAUUGUAUAAUUUAUUUAGCUUGUGGAUUUAUAAAUGUUGUUCAUGUUUGUCAAGUUGGCUUGGGUUGCCAUAAAUGUGAAUUAUCGAGUGAUGUGAUAUAUGAUUAUAAACUGCACAGGUUUUAUAGAUAUGAAUUUGAUAGAACGUUUUUCAGUGUCCUCAAAUGUUAGUUUGGAUCCUGGAUUAGUUUGUGAUGAAAAUUUUAAUAUCAUGGUUAUUAUUUAAGGGGGCGUGACAGAGGUGGUAUCAGAGCAUGGUUUGAGGAUCACCGAAAUAUUUGAUAUGUUGACAUGCAAAAUAUAUUGAGGUCUAAUGAACUAUAGUGAUUGGUGGAAAUUUUCUUUGAUGCAUUUUAGGAAUCUGGGAUGAUGAGGACAUUUGGUCCUCCUAUUUCAUUUGUUUCUGAUUAACUAAGGGGAAUGAAAGGAUUGAUCGGGGAUUUUGAAUCAGAGUGGCGCAGCAGAAGCAUGAUGAACCUAAUUUCAUUGGUGGUAGAAAAA
rnacentral:lncRNA from 1 species